rnacentral:rRNA from 1 species
UACGAAGGGGGGCUAGCGUUGCUCGGAAUCACUGGGCGUAAAGCGCACGUAGGCGGCUUUUUAAGUCAGGGGUGAAAUCCUGGAGCUCAAACUCCAGAACUGCCUUUGAUACUGAGAAGCUUGAGUCCGGGAGAGGUGAGUGGAACUGCGAGUGUAGAGGUGAAAUUCGUAGAUAUUCGCAAGAACACCAGUGGCGAAGGCGGCUCACUGGCCCGGUACUGACGCUGAGG